rnacentral:lncRNA from 1 species
CAAAGGAGAGGAGCCUCUUCUCGCCGGGUCCUGCAGCAGGGUCUUCCUUGGCUCCAAAGAAGAAAGGAGGGAGAAAGGAGGAGGAUUCAGGGAGGAAAAGGAAGGAAGGAAGGAAGGAAGGAAGGAAGGAAGGAAGGAAGGAAGGAAGGAAGGAAGGAGGGAGAAGCCCAAGUCGGGGGAACCAGGCUCCCUUUCUCUCCCGGUCUCUGAGUCUUUACAAUCCGGGCGAGUCGCAGGGCAGGAAUCCGCCGUGAAUCAUGGUCACCUUUGCGCCAAAGGACAGAAGAGAAGGAGGAGGAGGAGGAAGAGGGGCAGGGUCCACGCUCCUCUCUCCCGCAAAGUUCCCCUUGGCCAACUUCCCUCCUCCCCAAAAUGAAGAGAGGGAAGAGGAGCCGGUGGGCUCUUGGCAAAGCCCUCCGACCCGCUCGCCGGCUUGGGGGAGACACUUUGAGCAGCCCUGAAGCACCCACCCACUCGGUUCAUGCGUGAAAAAGGAGGAGGAGGAGGAGGCAGCCGGGGCCACCCACCAAGGCGCCCUCCAAGGAGGAGGAGGAGGGAGAGGAGGAGGAAGCAGCCCAGCUUCGGAGAGGAGACGCAGCUCCAGGCAAGAUGGGCAUUAAUAACAGCCAAGCCUCCCAUUAGAUGCUGCCAGGAGGACGUGCAUCCCAGGGACCGGUGCCUGGAAACCCAUUUCAAAGCCAUGGGUGCCAUUUUCUGCCGCUGGUUUUGCUUUGCUCCCCUUACGAAAGCCAUGAAUUAGGAGCGGCACAAUUGCCGCUUGUGGCAAUGACAGACAAGACCCUUAUCUUGAAUUACUGUCCUGUGCCAAGGAAAACACCCAGACAAAAGAGGAUUUUGCUCCAUUUCUAAAGGAGCUGCUGUUUGCCUUCCGGUUUAGCAGCCUUUUGCUAUUAAAGCCCAACGUCUUUAGCCAUUGAAGGGCUUG